UUUAGAAAUCGUGAGGGUUCAAGUCCCUCUAUCCCCA
rnacentral:tRNA from 1 species